AGACAAACUUUCUCCAAAGGAGCUUGGGGAUCAAUCUUCGCAACACUAACAUCAUGCACAACUGUGUACUGGCUGAAUGUUGAGGUUCCCAUGAAAUGGUAAAUAGGCUUUCCAUUUAUAGAGAACCGACUCUUACGAUCAUUCAUCAUGAUUCCAACACCUGUAGCUGCACGAACCUUGCCACAAAGAUUUGUCUUCCCUGAUCUGCAAAAUUUGCAUUCUCUGCAUUCUGCCUGGUAACAAGGGAUGACAUGAUCACCCGGCUGAACCUCAGUCACGCCUUCACCAACACUUUCUACAAUCCCAGCAGCCUCAUGACCAAGGAUACAAGGGAAAAGGCCCUCGGGAUCCUUUCCACUCCAAGUGUAAGCGUCGGUAUGGCAAAGAGCAGUGAAGAGAAUCUGGACUCGGACCUCACCGGCCUGAGGCGGAGCUACCUGCACAUCCUCUAUGACCAAUGGCUUAGUCGGCUCCCACGCAACAGCAGCUUUGCAGGUGAUA
rnacentral:misc_RNA from 1 species